CUUUCUUAUUGUUACAAGAUUUCAAAGGAGGGCUUCUCCUCAAAUUCUACACUGCGGAGCUCCCUUCCCACUCCACAGAAGCUCCGACAGCAUCCACAGUUGUCCAUGUGCAGCACAACAAAUCAAGCCAGGCAGAUCUCCCAUUGGCACUAGUUACCAACUUCCUAGAGAAACCCAUCAAUCUCAAAAUUCCUGCUCUAGCAAGUCCUGGAAAAGAGACUAGAGCCCAAAUGCCUUCACUCUGCCAAGGGAGCUUCCCUUUUUGUGUGUCUGUGCCAUGGACUUCUUGAAGUAGGGAAGCCUGUGGACCCCUUCUCACUGUGAUGUUUUUUAAAUGCAUAAAAUAGAACAUGGAGUAUUUCAAAGAAAACCAAUUACAUUGAAAUACAAUGACCAAAUAUUUUAAAAAUGAAUUUGUGUUAUAGUAAUAUAUGUUUCUAUAAUAAUGCUUUAAAUAACAAUAGCAGCAGAUCUAAACAAUUGAAAUGUCUAAAUGGUGAGCGUAAGUCACAUGCUGAGACGUCUGCAACAACAAACUCAUAGGUACAGCUGAUACUAGGAAAUAUUAAUUU
rnacentral:lncRNA from 1 species